GUGCCAGCCGCCGCGGUAAUACGGGGGGAGCUAGCGUUGUUCGGAAUUACUGGGCGUAAAGAGCAUGUAGGCGGUUUAAUAAGUUAGAAGUGAAAUCCCAAGGCUCAACCUUGGAACUGCUUCUAAAACUGUUAAACUAGAGGCCGAUAGGGGAUGAUGGAAUUCCUAGUGUAGAGGUGAAAUUCUUAGAUAUUAGGAAGAACACCGGAGGCGAAAGCGAUCAUCUGGGUCGCGCCUGACGCUGAGAUGCGAAAGCGUGGGGAGCAAACAGGAUUAGAUACCCGAGUAGUCC
rnacentral:rRNA from 1 species